ACCGCUGUAGCUCAUUGGAUAGAGCACCCCGUUGACUAUGGGAAGUGUAGCGGGUUCGAUCCCCGCCAGCGGUA
rnacentral:tRNA from 1 species